AUAUUCAAUAAUGAUUUUAAAUUGCAAAUUUAAAGGUUAAAUU
rnacentral:tRNA from 1 species